AACCUGGACUCACCCGACGGGAUGACUGACUAUGUGGAUGACAACCAAACAUUUGAAACUUAAGCUUGCUUGUGGCAAGUGCGAGCUUUGCCUUGUUUCUGUGCAUCACUUGACUUAUUGCAGCAUCAACCGCCAGCCAAGGAGCAGAUUGCUGGUUGUUUUAUAACUUGUAUUAAUUUUGCAGGUUGUCGAUUGCAGUCUUGGAGAGUUUAUGUUGAAUUCACGUGAAAAUGUUAACCCUAACCCUUUUGAUUUUUAUGAUGAUUGAUGAUUUUCAGGACAGAAUCCCCGGGCGCCGUGAUUCGUUGUGUGUCUAUUUUUAUUUUGAUACUCGAUGCCUGUGUAGUUUUUGGGAGCACAAGUGUCCGCUGUCAGCGGGGCUGUAUGCUCACUGGCAGGGGUGCGAUAAUUUUUGUUUGUGUGGCUGAGUGUGAGGUGAACAGUCAAUUUCCGGGAACUUGGGGAUGCCGAUCCUGGGUGAGUGAAAGGUUCGACAAACUGGCUGCAAGGCAUAUCAUGAUCCGGCUUUAACAGGACGUGCCAGAAUUCAACAGGCAGUGAUGGAAAGAGCAGAAGAAGCAUCUCGAAAGGAAAGGAGUUAAUGGGAGACAACAAUCUGGAAUGGAUGCAAAGCGUGGUAACAAUCUAGCGACAGUAACGGUUAAAGUGUCAACGGAAAAGCACGAAUGAUGACAAAUCAUACAGCUAAUAGGGAUUAGACUGCAGCACAAUAGACAACAAAUGUAUGGAAGAUAGUAAUUAAAUAAAAUAGGAAACUGGACCAGAAACAAGGAAUAGGGAAAAUUUCUUAACAUAUGAAUGCAUUAAAGCGGCUAUUAAAGGUAAAAUAUUUAAGAACACAUUUUAAGAGGGUUAAUUUGCAUAACAAAUAUUGAAAAGAGUUGAAUAGGUAAAUCAUUUUGGGAAAAUGACAGGUCCACUGCUUCAAAAGGGUGACUGAUUUGAACAGUAAGGUGACUUGAAGGGGAGACAAAGACUAAUUGGGUGAACAAAAUUGACGGAACUGAUACCCAUUUGAGAAUACUGAGAAAAAUUUGAAUCAAAGAGAAAAUUUGGAGUAAAAAUUAAUAUUUGGACUGGGAAAGAGCAAUUGCAAAGACGUGAUUGACGACUUCAGACAGUGACAGCUGCAGCAGGAAAGACUAACUUGAACAGGCAGAAGUUACUCUGCUACAGGAGGGAUCUUGCGAGACUGACAACACGACGAGAAAUAAGGGGGAUUAUUCAUAACUCCUGGGGGGUAGUGUUUGUUUCUUUGUUUGUUUGUUUGUUUGUUUGUUUCGGGGAUCACCUGGGCCUCUGGAUCAUAGGAGUAGAUUCCGAGAACGCUCGGAGGUUCUACUGAGCACUUUGAUGAGACGACCACCACCAAUCGUCCCCGUGCCCCAAUCAACCCCAAAAGAGAAGGUUUUGUUUGCUGACGACUGGCUAUGGAGAUGUCGUCUACUAGGGGUGACCAAAGGGGGCCGGAAGGACUUCAGGCCUACGCUGGGCAUUGCUGUUUUUUUCAUUGCAACUCGAGGUUUUGUGCUGUUGUCAUCGGUAAAUACUGGCAGUGGCUCCCAAUUAUUGCAGAACCCGUGGACGCUGACCGGGGCCUGGAAAGAGACUCUGAGGACGGAGAAGUGGACAUAAAGAUUUUGGAUGGACGGCAGGCCCUGAGCAGUGAUCCCGGCGCAAAUUCACUACUGAGCAUUCAGUGGACUGGACUUUGCAUAGACAGGCACUUACAUAUGCAAGGGGGGUAACACAGAGGGCGCUUCAACGUCGCAGUAUGCUGUGAUAUUGCGUCAAUAUUAUAUCAUUCAUUACUUUAUCUGAUGUCUACAUGCUGCAUUACUUUAUCUUAUUCAUUUACCUUGUCACAUAUUAACAUUAUGACGACGCAGUUUUGACUGUUUAGCGGUCGGUGAACAUGUCAUUUCUUUUCCUUGCUGUUUUGUGAGCUCAUACUGGUUUGUGGAUUGUGAUAUGUUCCAGGACUCCUUGUACCUGGCUGACGCCAGGUGGAGGGAAUCACUGAGGAUGUUAGAAAGGGCCUCCCUCUUUUUCCAUGUCAUUAGACUGGCAGGUUUUUUUCUUGAGGGAGGGCCGGCAACUUUUUGAGGUUUCUAACGGACCACGCCAAAUUCAUUGCUUCAUAAAUUAUCAACGGUAUUGAGGUAUUACGUAAGGGGGGUGGUUAUCGUUAGGGGUGUAAUGAUUCAUCAAUACACAUCGAUUAAUCGAUAUAAUGCUCUACGAUUUGUUGGCAUCAAUGCUAAACGUAAACAUCGAUCUAUAUCGCUUGUUUUUGACCUCGGACAUUAGACGCGACUUUAUUUUGAAAUCCAGUUCAUUGUUGCUUGCUUCCUCUUUCCGGGAGCAGUGCGCGGCGUGUUGUGUUGUGAGCAGAGCAGGCACGUGAAAGGGGAGCUGACAACUACGCGGCUCCUGGGCUGGUGCUAUGGCUAGUGUCCAAGACGACGAGGAAAUUCGCUCCCCUUUGGGCUUCAAGUCAUUCGUUUGGAAGCACUUUGUAAUUUCCUAAAUAAAGAGUUUGCAGUACCUUGUUGAUUUUGCGUAUGAAUUGUUAUAAAUCAGGAUAUUGUUCUAUAUCGAUCGUAGAGCACUAUAUCGUGAUGUAUCGUGAAUGAAUCACAGCAGGCUUUAAGAUAUCGGCAAAUAUCGUAUUGUGGUUCUUUGUAUCGAUAUGAUAUCGUAUCGUGACAAAACCCGCGAUUUACACCCCUAGUUAUCGUCAUUUGGAUAAUGUGGACUUCAAUUUUCUUUAUUUGUGGUUCCUGAGAGGCCUCAGAUUGCUGUCAGGGAGCAAUUGGAUACCAAAGUAGUUUGAGCUUUCCUAGUUAAAAUAACCUUAAGUAGAAUGCCUCGAGCGUGGUAUAGGCUGUGCAGGUAUAGGCCAAAUUGUAGACGUGACCACAAAAUUUGUUUGGGUGAAGAUUUUUGGAUGUUUACCGAUGUCAUCUCUUUUUGGACCGUUUUCGGGACAUUUACAAACUCCCGAAGGGGGGAAUGAGGUAAAUUUUGGAUUCUAUUCUCUGUAUGUCACCUUAAAUGGCGACCUAGCAGCAGUGAGAAGACCCUAAGCUAUUUUUGUGGUACAGAGAAGCUCUAGUUUCAGUAAUGUGUAGGUACUUAGAAUAUGGAAGGGCCAUUCGUCCGUGACCAGAAAGACCUUUGUCCAUGCCCUUUUAAGGGCAUCGGAAGUAACCAGUAGAGUGAGACUCAGACCGCAGCUGUUGUCUUACGAGGUACAAAUGAUGGGGGAGAACAGAUAGAGAGGGGGCAAGAGCAAGAGGCGCGAGGGCUUUUUGGGGCGAACAGCUUUGCUGUCGAGAGCUGAAACAUCUUUGCUUUUGGGGCCACUCGAACUUUUGGAGAGACAUCACUCUGACAUGGGUUGAAUAAAAUCUUUUCCCAAUCA